rnacentral:rRNA from 1 species
UGACCCCUACGGGAGGCAGCAGUGGGGAAUAUUGGGCAAUGGGCGCAAGCCUUACCCAGCAAUACCGCGUGAGUGAAGAAGGUCUUCGGAUUGUAAAGCUCUUUGAUCAGGGACGAACAGAUGACGGUACCUGAAGAACAAGCCCCGGCUAACUACGUGCCAGCAGCCGCGGUAAAACGUAGGGGGCGAGCGUUAUCCGGAUUUAUUGGGUUUAAAGGGUGCGCAGGCGGGAGAUCAA